rnacentral:lncRNA from 1 species
AUUCUGUGACUGCAGUUUGCAGGCCAGCAGAGCCAAGCCCAAGUUGUUUAAGUCAGCAGAAGGACUACUGCAAGCUUCAAAGGAACUUGAAUACAUUUUUAAGAACAUUUCAGAAUGGUUCUUAUCCUGUGCUGAAGGAUCAUUUAACUAUCAGGAUAAGAAGUACAAGCAGACAGCACCAGGCUCUGUCAUACCCCAUAGAAAUAGACAGCUCUUCCAAGCAGACCAUCUCAUCUGUUCAGAUUACCUGUCAUGUUUGGGGAGAGCCGAGGUCUGAGAAGAUUUGUAAGUCAGUGGAAUUUCUGCUUUGGAUGAAAUAACUCACGGUUGUAAAUCUAUGUGCUAGCACACUUCUUAAGCAAGAUACAGUACAGGGAAACUACAAAUAGUGUCUACGUUCCUUCUAUGUGGCUGAGAUUAGAAGACUGUUAACAAUAGAGAGUGGGAAAUCUGGGACUGGAACGUCAAGAACAAACCGCAGAAGAAGAGAUGUAAGAAUGGGUUGUGCUUUUGUCUCCUAGAUCAUCAGGUCAUCAAGAUCACAGCAUGUCUACAUGCAACCUGUCACAACACACAGAUCAGAGGAAAACAGUACUAGCUUAAAAUACAGAGAGACUAAAGUCACUGAGAGCUGAUGAUGUGAAUAUAAGGAACAGGCUUGAAGCUUUAAGUAGCCCAAGCAGAGAGACAGGAAAGGAUGACAGGAAGACAGACCUAAGUAGGCAGACAAGGAAAAG